AGAAAAUUAAAUAAAAAUUGUGCUUUGAUUUCAUAGAUGACGACUCUUCCAGUAAAACUGUUUCAGAAUCAUCUGAGGAACCAACUGUUUCAGACGAGGACAGUGACCUGAAGGACGACUCCCAGGUUGUUGGUGAUAACCCAGAAAUUUCUGAGGAGAAACCUGAAGGUGAGAUAUUUAUUUAAUUUAAACAGUUUUAAACAGUAGGCCUGUCACAAUAAAAGUUUUUGCUAGAUGA